UACGUAGGGGGCAAGCGUUGUCCGGAUUUAUUGGGCGUAAAGAGCGUGUAGGCGGCCAGGUAGGUCAGCUGUGAAAACUCGAGGCUCAACCUCGAGACGCCGGUUGAAACCAUCUGGCUAGAGUCCGGAAGAGGAGAGUGGAAAUUCCUGGUGUAGCGGUGAAAUGCGCAGAUAUCAGGAAGAACACCCGUGGCUAAGGCGGCUCUCUAGUACGGUACUGACGCUGAGACGCGAAAGCGUGGGGAGCGAACAGGGAUAGAAAC
rnacentral:rRNA from 1 species